AAAAAAAAAUUCACAAUGCCAGAAGAAGGGGACAAUUCUUAUGAAAAUAUUUCCCUUACAAGGUCACACACAUGGAAAUUAUUUCUGAUGUCACCCGACCAUUUGCAAGUUGAUAACUUGGAUUAAUAGUGUAUGAAUCUGGUAGAGAUGGUGAUGAAUAUUUACUGUUAGGAGGAAUUCUUUCAGGUCACUUAAACAGAAGUCAUUUCUGAUGUCACUGGAUCAUUGGUCACACACAUGGAAGUUACUUCUGAUGUCACUUGGCCAUUUGCAAGUUGAUAUCUCUUGGAUUAAUAGUGGAGGAAUCUGGUAAAGAUGAAGAUGAAGAUAUACUGUUAGGAAGAAUUCUUUCAGGUCACUUACACGUAAGUUAUUUCUGAUGUCAUGGAAGUUAUUUCUGAAUUCACUGGAUCACUUGUGAGUUGAUAUAUUUUGGAUUAAUAGUAGAUGAAUCUAGUUAAAAUGAUGAUGAAUAAAAACUUUCAAGGGUUCUUUCAGUUCACACAAAUGUAAGUUAUUUCUGAUGUCUCCUGGCGAUUUGCAAGUUGAUAUAUUGGAUUAAUAGUAGAUGAAUCUUGCAGAUAUGAUGAUGAAAAUUUACUGUUAGGAGAAAUUCUUUUAAGUAACUUACACAGAUAUUAUUUCUGAUGUCAAGGAAGUUAUUUCUGAUGUCAUGGAAGUUAUUCCUGAUGUCACUGGAUCAUUGGUGAGUUGAUAUCUCUUGUUGGAUGAAAAGUAGAUGAAUCGAGUAAAGAUGAUGAUGAAAAUUAACUUUAAGGAAUUCUUUCAGAUCACACUCAUGGAAGUUAUUUCUGAUGUCACCUGGCCAUUUGCAAGUUGAUAACUUGGAUAAAUAGUGGAUGAAUCUGGUAGAGAUGAUGAUGAAUAUUUACUGUUAGGAGGAAUUCUUUC